CGGUGGCCGGCAUGCUUUCUCACACGCAGCUAGCAGCGCAAUGUGCCCUUCGCAGGGGAUAUGCCACCUGACAUCAGCUACCAAGAAGCAGUGGUGGAUCUAAGAACUGCUGUAAUAUAGAAGACUAAGGAGUGCAAACCACAUUCUGAGAUAGCAGCAGUAACGACCGUGGAAGAUAAAAUUACCUGCCGUUUCGAAUUAACCUGAACAGAACACAGCUGCGCCAAGGUCAAGUGGUAGUAAGGACCACAGGUCUAAUGUGAUGACCUCCUGGAUCUCUUGAAGAAGAAAGUGCCAACCACCAAGGUCAAGAGCUUCUCAUCUUGGUCAUGCCAUCAGGAAACAGUUAAGAGACGGAAAGGAGCAGCAUUGAAACAGUCUCUGGAAGUGGCAUGAGGUCUGUAAUGAGAAAAAAGAGCAAAGAAAAGGAAGAGGUGAUGGUCUGCACUUAGG